UGAGCAAUAUGCUAAGAAUGAAAGUGGAAGUGGGGCUAGCUUGGCUAGGUUUGGAAAUGAAGAGCGUAGUUGCACAAGUUCCGAAAGUGUGGGUACUAAUAAGAAAGAUGCUUUAGCUAUUUACCAUUCAUUUCGGGCGUCCAAAAAUGUGAUGAUGUGUCGGACAGAGAUAGAGCAAUAUUAUACGGAAGAGGUGGAGACUCCAAGUGACAACUUUGAUAUUUUAAUGUGGUGGAGGGUAAAUAAGGUAAAGUUUCCGGUUCUCGCCGAGAUAGCACGAGAUGUCCUGGCAAUUCCACUUACUUCUGUUGCUUCUGAGUCGGCCUUUAGCACCGGAGGUCGCAUCAUAGAUCCUUUUCGGAGUUCUUUGGCUCCGAAAACAGUGGAAGCUCUUAUUUGUUGUCAAAAUUGGUUGAGAUCUUCUCCCAAUUUUCAGUAUGUUGAGUCACUCUUGCCUGACAUUGAAGAUGAAGAAAGCUACAAGCUUGAGUCGGAAAUUUUGUCUAAUUCCCUCACAUUUGACACGAAUUAAGGCUUAAUGGAUGAACUUUGCGGGGUAAUGUUUUGUUUAAAGUAUUUGGAAGCAAAUUUAAGGAAUUGAAGAUAAUCUAUGUUUGAGGUGGCUCAAGGAAAUUAUUCUGUAACCGUGUUGAUGUUGAUGUUUAUUCAUACUGAUCACUAUCUUUAUGUUUUCUUGCUUUUAUAUUUGUGUAAUGGUGUUGCCUACUUGCCCAUGAGGCCAUGACUUAUUUUCCUUUUGCCAAGUGACUUUAAUUAGUUAAUACUUUGUUUAUUAUUCAUUAAUGAAUUUUAUUUUAA